GGGGAUGUAGCUCAGCUGGAAGAGCGCCUGCUUUGCAAGCAGGAUGUCAGGGGUUCGAGUCCCCUCAUCUCCACCA
rnacentral:tRNA from 1 species